CAGGACGAACGCUGGCGGCGUGCUUCAUACAUGCAAGUCGAACGAGAAACUGACUUCGGUUAGUGGGAAGUGGCGGACGGGUGAGUAAUAUGUAGAGAAUCUGCCCUUGAGUGGGGGACAACAGAGGGAAACUUCUGCUAAUACCCCAUAUGAGCUUAGUUGAAAUACUAAUCUUGAAAACUCCGGUGCUCAAGGAUGAGUCUGCAUCUGAUUAGCUAGUUGGCGGUGUAAUGGACCACCAAGGCGACGAUCAGUAGCUGGUUUGAGAGGAUGAUCAGCCACAAUGGGACUGAGACACGGCCCAUACUCCUACGGGAGGCAGCAGUAGGGAAUUUUGCGCAAUGGGCGAAAAAGCCUGACGCAGCAACGCCGCGUGAACGAUUAAGCCCUUCGGGGUGUAAAGUUCUGUCAGUAGGGACGAAACUUGACGGUACCUACAGAGGAAGCACCGGCUAACUCCGUGCCAGCCGCGGC
rnacentral:rRNA from 1 species